UACGGAGGGUGCAAGCGUUGUUCGGAAUCAUUGGGCGUAAAGCGCGUGUAGGCGGCUUGGCAAGUCAGGCGUGAAAGCCCCGGGCUUAACCUGGGAAUGGCGCUUGAAACUACAGGACUGGAGUAUGGCAGAGGGAGGUGGAAUUCCACGUGUAGCGGUGAAAUGCGUAGAGAUGUGGAGGAACACCGAUGGCGAAGGCAGCCUCCUGGGCCAAUACUGACGCUCAUGCACGAAAGCGUGGGGAGCAAACAGG
rnacentral:rRNA from 1 species